rnacentral:rRNA from 1 species
CCUACGGGAGGCAGCAGUGGGGAAUUUUGGACAAUGGGGGCAACCCUGAUCCAGCCAUUCCGCGUGAGUGAAGAAGGCCUUCGGGUUGUAAAGCUCUUUCAGCAGGAACGAAACGGUGCGCUCUAACAUAGCGUGCUAAUGACGGUACCUGCAGAAGAAGCACCGGCUAACUACGUGCCAGCAGCCGCGGUAAUACGUAGGGUGCGAGCGUUAAUCGGAAUUACUGGGCGUAAAGCGUGCGCAGGCGGAUUGUUAAGCAAGACGUGAAAUCCCCGGGCUUAACCUGGGAAUGGCGUUUUGAACUGGCAGUCUAGAGUGUGUCAGAGGGGGGUGGAAUUCCACGUGUAGCAGUGAAAUGCGUAGAGAUGUGGAGGAACACCAAUGGCGAAGGCAGCCCCCUGGGAUAACACUGACGCUCAUGUACGAAAGCGUGGGUAGCAAACAGGAUUAGAUACCCUGGUAGUCCACGCCCUAAACGAUGUCAACUGGUUGUUGGGGGAGUGAAAUCCCUUAGUAACGAAGCUAACGCGUGAAGUUGACCGCCUGGGGAGUACGGUCGCAAGAUUAAAACUUAAAGGAAUUGACGG